AGCCUGAUGCAGCCAUGCCGCGUGUAUGAAGAAGGCCUUCGGGUUGUAAAGUACUUUCAGCAGUGAGGAAGGUGGUGUCGUUAAUAGCGGCAUCAUUUGACGUUAGCUGCAGAAGAAGCACCGGCUAACUCCGUGCCAGCAGCCGCGGUAAUACGGAGGGUGCGAGCGUUAAUCGGAAUUACUGGGCGUAAAGCGCAUGCAGGUGGUUUGUAGUCAGAUGUGAAAGCCCGGGGCUCAACCUCGGAAUUGCAUUUGAAACUGGCAGACUAGAGUACUGUAGAGGGGGGUAGAAUUUCAGGUGUAGCGGUGAAAUGCGUAGAGAUCUGAAGGAAUACCGGUGGCGAAGGCGGCCCCCUGGACAGAUACUGACACUCAGAUGCGAAAGCGUGGGGAGCAAACAGGAUUAGAUACCCUGGUAGUCCACGCCGUAAACGAUGUCUACUUGGGUUGUGGCCUUGAGCCGUGGCUUUCGGAGCUAACGCGUUAAGUAGACCGCCUG
rnacentral:rRNA from 1 species